GAUGAACGCUGGCGGCGUGCCUAAUACAUGCAAGUCGAGCGAACAGACGAGGAGCUUGCUCCUCUGACGUUAGCGGCGGACGGGUGAGUAACACGUGGAUAACCUACCUAUAAGACUGGGAUAACUUCGGGAAACCGGAGCUAAUACCGGAUAAUAUAUUGAACCGCAUGGUUCAAUAGUGAAAGACGGUUUUGCUGUCACUUAUAGAUGGAUCCGCGCCGCAUUAGCUAGUUGGUAAGGUAACGGCUUACCAAGGCAACGAUGCGUAGCCGACCUGAGAGGGUGAUCGGCCACACUGGAACGGAGACACGGUACAGACUCCUACGGGAGGCAGCAGUAGGGAAUCUUCCGCAAUGGGCGAAAGCCUGACGGAGCAACGCCGCGUGAGUGAUGAAGGUCUUCGGAUCGUAAAACUCUGUUAUUAGGGAAGAACAAAUGUGUAAGUAACUAUGCACGUCUUGACGGUACCUAAUCAGAAAGCCACGGCUAACUACGUG
rnacentral:rRNA from 1 species